AGCGAACGCUGGCGGCAGGCCUAACACAUGCAAGUCGAACGAACCUUUCGGGGUUAGUGGCGGACGGGUGAGUAACACGUGGGAACGUGCCUUUAGGUUCGGAUUAACUCAGGGAAACUUGUGCUAAUACCGAAUGUGCCCUUCGGGUGAAAGAUUAAUCGCCUUUAGAGCGGCCCGCGUCUGAUUAGCUAGUUGGUUGAGGUAAUGGCUCACCAAGGCGACGAUCAGUAGCUGGUCUGAGAGGAUGAUCAGCCACAUUGGGACUGAGACACGGCCCAAACUCCUACGGGAGGCAGCAGUGGGGAAUCUUGCGCAAUGGGCGAAAGCCUGACGCAGCCAUGCCGCGUGAAUGAUGAAGGUCUUAGGAUUGUAAAAUUCUUUCACCGGGGACGAUAAUGACGGUACCCGGAGAAGAAGCCCCGGCUAACUUCGUG
rnacentral:rRNA from 1 species